rnacentral:snRNA from 1 species
GGUUGUGAGGGCGAUCUCAUUGCAACAUCUGUCACCCCAUUCAUAACCAGAGUUGAUUCAGCUGAUCUGGCUGGCUAGGCAGACAUCACCUUCCUCCCUCAUCACUCCAUGACUGUGUGUCCCUCCUGAAGCCAUGUGCUCAGUCAGAGAAUGACCUUCCCCACUAGAGAAGGACUGGUCUCCAGUCAAGGGUAUACAAGCAGAUGUACUGCCUGCUAGAGCCUCCCAACAAGCUCUCAAGAUAGAGUGAUUCACUGUAGGGUUCCUUCUAGUGAGUUCAUUCUAGAGCUAAUCUUUAAAAAAAUCCUUUUUCUAGCAUGUUGAUCUUUCAU